rnacentral:rRNA from 1 species
GAUAAGGAGCUUGCUCCUUUGACGUUAGCGGCGGACGGGUGAGUAACACGUGGGUAACCUACCUAUAAGACUGGGAUAACUUCGGGAAACCGGAGCUAAUACCGGAUAAUAUUUCGAACCGCAUGGUUCGAUAGUGAAAGAUGGUUUUGCUAUCACUUAUAGAUGGACCCGCGCCGUAUUAGCUAGUUGGUAAGGUAACGGCUUACCAAGGCGACGAUACGUAGCCGACCUGAGAGGGUGAUCGGCCACACUGGAACUGAGACACGGUCCAGACUCCUACGGGAGGCAGCAGUAGGGAAUCUUCCGCAAUGGGCGAAAGCCUGACGGAGCAACGCCGCGUGAGUGAUGAAGGUCUUCGGAUCGUAAAACUCUGUUAUUAGGGAAGAACAUACGUGUAAGUAACUGUGCACGUCUUGACGGUACCUAAUCAGAAAGCCACGGCUAACUACGUGCCAGCAGCCGCGGUAAUACGUAGGUGGCAAGCGUUAUCCGGAAUUAUUGGGCGUAAAGCGCGCGUAGGCGGUUUUUUAAGUCUGAUGUGAAAGCCCACGGCUCAACCGUGGAGGGUCAUUGGAAACUGGAAAACUUGAGUGCAGAAGAGGAAAGUGGAAUUCCAUGUGUAGCGGUGAAAUGCGCAGAGAUAUGGAGGAACACCAGUGGCGAAGGCGACUUUCUGGUCUGUAACUGACGCUGAUGUGCGAAAGCGUGGGGAUCAAACAGGAUUAGAUACCCUGGUAGUCCACGCCGUAAACGAUGAGUGCUAAGUGUUAGGGGGUUUCCGCCCCUUAGUGCUGCAGCUAACGCAUUAAGCACUCCGCCUGGGGAGUACGACCGCAAGGUUGAAACUCAAAGGAAUUGACGGGGACCCGCACAAGCGGUGGAGCAUGUGGUUUAAUUCGAAGCAACGCGAAGAACCUUACCAAAUCUUGACAUCCUUUGACAACUCUAGAGAUAGAGCCUUCCCCUUCGGGGGACAAAGUGACAGGUGGUGCAUGGUUGUCGUCAGCUCGUGUCGUGAGAUGUUGGGUUAAGUCCCGCAACGAGCGCAACCCUUAAGCUUAGUUGCCAUCAUUAAGUUGGGCACUCUAAGUUGACUGCCGGUGACAAACCGGAGGAAGGUGGGGAUGACGUCAAAUCAUCAUGCCCCUUAUGAUUUGGGCUACACACGUGCUACAAUGGACAAUACAAAGGGCAGCGAAACCGCGAGGUCAAGCAAAUCCCAUAAAGUUGUUCUCAGUUCGGAUUGUAGUCUGCAACUCGACUACAUGAAGCUGGAAUCGCUAGUAAUCGUAGAUCAGCAUGCUACGGUGAAUACGUUCCCGGGUCUUGUACACACCGCCCGUCACACCACGAGAGUUUGUAACACCCGAAGCCGGUGGAGUAACCAUUGGAGCUAG